AUUGAACGCUGGCGGCAGGCCUAACACAUGCAAGUCGAACGAGUGGCGGACGGGAGUGCUAUGUCUGUGACACUGCCUGAUGGAGGGGGUUAACUACUGGAAACGGUUGCUAAAACCGCCUACCUUAGGAUGUGCCCAGAUGGGAUUAGCUAGUAGGUGGGGUAAAGGCUCACCUAGGCCACGAUCCCUAGCUGGUCUGAGAGGAUGACCAGUCACACUGGAACUGAGACACGGUCCAGACUCCUACGGGAGGCAGCAGUGGGGAAUAUUGCACAAUGGGCGAAAGCCUGAUGCAGCCAUGCCGCGUGUAUGAAGAAGGCCUUCGGGUUGUAAAGUACUUUCAGCGGGGAGGCGUUACCCACAGAAGAAGCACCGGCUAACUACGUGCCAGCAGCCGCGGUAAUAC
rnacentral:rRNA from 1 species